rnacentral:rRNA from 1 species
CUCGUAGGCGGUUCAACAAGUCGGUCGUGAAAGCCCGGGGCUCAACCCCGGGACGCCGGUCGAAACUGUUGUGACUAGGGUCCGGUAGAGGUGAGUGGAAUUCUCGGUGUAGCGGUGGAAUGCGCAGAUAUCGAGAGGAACACCAGUAGCGAAGGCGGCUCACUGGGCCGGUACCGACGCUGAGGAGCGAAAGCAUGGGGAGCAAACA